AUUUGAUGAUGAGGGCACUUGCUUAGUAGCUCUUGAAAGCAGCUCCAAAACUCAUAGAAUGUCUCCUGUGGGUCUUGUUUGAUUGAAUAAAUUUCUUUUCUCAAGCU